rnacentral:piRNA from 1 species
GCCAUGGUCUAAAUCGGAGAAACCUUCCUC